AAUUUUGUAUCUGCCUUCAUCACCAGAGAGCUGAUGUUCCAACCAGCUGCUCAGACUUGUGAAACCCAGAAGACUGAUGAGCAAGAAAUGUUUGUGUGACUGGGAGAUUGACAGCGAGUUGUAGUGUGAUAGUGAGCACUGAACUCACCCAUCCAAACGAGAACAAUCUGGACAGAGAAUGGAGAAAACUCGAAAGGAAGAGAAGAGUGGGAGGGAGCGUAGGAGCACCGUGGGAUCAGGGCAUUAAAGCUCCAGUCAAAGAGGAGAAGGAUUGACAGGAGGAGGAGAAGAAAGUCUAAGACACCUGUGGUGGAAGCACUCAGCUCACUGUUUAGUUGGGGUGGGGGUGUCUGAGGGGUGAAGUGACUUACUGGAGAGCUCAGUGUUUGAGCGUACCAGACCAGACCAUGCUGGGCCUGCACUGCGGUGAACAGCCGCACUGUAAUAACUCAGGGACUGGGGGGCUGAAAGACGAUAGCCUGGCAGGAAUUGGUUUACAGCCAAAGAAGCCAACACUUGUGGAUGCUGACUUCCCUUUUAGACAGAGACAAACCUAAAGCAGUGGGUGUAAAAGCAGCCUUCCUGUCUAUGAUGACAUAGGUGUACAGACCUGUAUCAGGUCAGCCAAUGGAAACUAGAUGAAGGAAGAGGACACGGUGGUGAAGGCUGGCUAGAAGGGUUCUCAAAGCUGAUGAGAGUGAUGGGUGGUAUGGAAGUGGCCUUUUAACAGUUGGUUCUACCAGGUGUUUUGCAGAAAGAAAAGGUCUUUCCUCUUUGUGAGAGGAUUAAGAAACAGGAUACAUUCCGCUGGUUUCACACCAGCUGGUGCCCAAGAUUCCAGCAUGUUUCUGGUUCAUUACUGCUGUUUUUGAUGUGGUGUUAAAUAGCCGUAAUAAUCGAGACUCUGACAGUAGAAAGUGUUGAGGACUUAGGAGAUUACUUAAAAGCCGUUACUACAAAAUGUAAAUACUUCCAUGAAAACAUCCUCAUAAAAAUUUCUCUUUCAAUUCAAUUCAAUUCAAUUCAAGUUUAUUUAUAUAGCGCCAAAUCACAAGAGUCGUCUCAAGGCACUUCACACAGUAAACAUUCCAAAACAGUUCAGUUCAUAAAGCCAAUCAGUAAAAGUUUCCUAUAUAAGGAACCCAGCAGAUUGCAUCAAGUCACUGACUGUUAUCAGUGACUUGAUGCAAUCCUCAUAUUAAGCAAGCAAGUAGCGACAGUGGAGAGGAAAACUCCCUUUUAACAGGAAGAAACCUCCAGAGGAUCCUGGUUCAGUGUAAGCAGACAUCCACCACAACUCACUGGGGAUCGAGAAGACAGAGCAGACGCACGUACACACCAACACACACACACACACACACACACACACACACACACACACACACACACACACACACACACACACACACACACACACACACACACACACAACGCGUGAUGUUUCCAUGGCUACAUUGUGAUUUCUUAGUAAAGAUUCUAUUUGGUGAGAGAUAAACUUUAUUGUAUUUAUCCUAGUGAAUCUAUAAUUAAACGGGAAAACUAGUAGUAGCACAUUCAAUGUCAAAGAAAGUAAAAUGUUAUUAUCAGGAGAAUGAGAAUGUUUACGUGAUUUGCAGCAGUGUGCUAGACGAUGGCCCCCUCCAUGAGAGCACCACAGCUCAGCAGAACGUCAUUGUAGCUUCUUCUGGGGAGAAAAACACUUAGAGAAAAAUAAAGUUAACAGCUGAAAUAGCAGGAAAUAAUACAGUUAAAGAGCAAAUUGUAGAAGAAAGUAGUCAAGUGUGGAAAGUGGUCAGUAUGUCCUCCAGCAGUCUAAGCCUAUAGCAGCAUAACUACAGAGAUAACUCUGGAUAAUCUAGCCUUUUAGAUGGAGGCAUGUUGGAGGCAGGGCAAGGGAGAGCCGUCUUUACCGACUGUACACUCCACCUCCCUCUACUCCCCCACUUGUCCAGAUAGGCUAACAUCAGAUUUUAACCAUGAGCCCUAUAAAAUAGGCUCUAGCCAAAAGUUUUGUGUGCUGCCUAUUUUCUUAAAAUUCAUUUUGUGGUAUUUCUGAAUUUAGGCCAAUACUCCGAACCACGGUGCUUGUGUGCUCAUAGGUAGCGUCAACUUUCACUGAGUUCUAUAACCUUAGAAAAGUUGGAUGGGUGGAUAGAAGAAUGAUGGUAAGAAAAUUAAACGAUAGAUGAACAGAGGGAUGGCAUUGGCUCGGGGGCUUGGAAUUAGCACUGCAACUGUAGGGUUGCUGGUUCUAACCCAAGCUCUGUCCGUGCCAGCCCUUGCCUGCUGGUGGUGGUCGGAGGGGGUGGAGGUGCAGUAUGGCAACUUUGUCUCUGUCAGUGUGCCCCAGGACACCUGUGGCUACAAUGUAGCUCAUCACCAUCCAUGUGUGUGUGUGUGUGUGUGUGUGUGUGUUAAUGCCUGCCUGUAGUAUAAAGUGCUUUUUAGAGUCCUCUGAUUCAAACAGAACAGCUCUAUAUGAGUGUGUUAUCACUAUCAUUUAAAUGUAUGCACAACAUGUUUUUACUUGACGAACAUAUGGAUGGAUUCAUGGAAAAAUAGAUGUAUGCAUAUUUUUUACAUUACGUUUGUUUCGUGUUUUUAAACUUUUUUUCAUUUUUGAUAAUUUCACUAAAACACACAAACUCUGUUUUUUACCAUAAAACUCAGCCUUUGAGUAUUAAAUGCCUGUAAUUCCAGUUUUUUAGUGUCAAAGAGAAUAUGUGCAUUUUAUAUCACCCUAACUUUUUUAAAGAUCAGACAAGUCCAACUGACAGCCAACAUAUUUUCUUCUUACCGCAUUUGUGCUGCUGCUGGUCCCACUGGAUCCCUGUGGGGAAAGCUGUGAGAUGUUUUGAGAGCAGUAAGUCAACACUGACUGGUGGCCACAGAUGGUCUGCGGUAAUGGCUCGUGUUGCUGUUAGUGGUGGGCAGCUAACCCACCCAGGGUAAACAGUCAAACAAACACAGGGGUUACAUCAGGGUUGUUUCGGUUACGUCCAGAGAUCCUGCUGAAUGGAAUAACAAGCUGUCAGUUCACUAAGACAAAAUGAUGUCUCACAGGCUGUGAGUCAGUAUCUGCAGCUUUAAUCAACUCAUCUAGAAAUGAGAACAAUCAUCACUAAAGCAGACAAAGUGCAACACUUUUUCCACUUUGAAGAAAAUCUACUUUAAAUAGAUCAGUAAUUUGCAUGUUGAUAUUUGAAUGGCAAUGUCUCUGCUGCAGAUUCCCACAGAUGCCCUUGCUUUCUCCGUCUUGGGAGUGUAUUAAGGCACCGACUCCCACUGUAACUGGAGGGUGUGGAAGCUACCAGCUAAACACAAUGAGCUUGGGCAGAAAACAAUAGGCACAUACACACAUAAGAUUUGGUCCAACAUAUAGCUGGACCUCCCCUCCCCCAACCUUUUUUCUCCCCCUCAGUGAUUGAUUGCUUUCCUCACUCUCUGGACUUGGCGUGUGCUGUGGCCUCACCGGACUCUCCAGCAGACCACUGGGAACUGGGCGGUUUUUCCUUUCACUGACUUCAAACCUCCAAACAGAUUAUUUGAACGGAAAAGGAUAUUGAACCAGUGCGUUUCCUGUAUUUCCUGUUUGAAGAAAGACAUGGAAGAGGGAUGGAAACAACCCCUGUUGGGUGGAGGAGUUGUCACAGGAAGUCAGAUUGCUAUCCACUGGGUGUGCAAGUGUUCUGCAGCUGGAGAGCGGCUGCUCUGGGAAGCCUUAUCCUCAGGGAAUUAAAUGGGAUUUAGCACACACACACACACACACACACACACGCACACACACACACACACACACACACACGCACGCACGCACGCACGCACACACGCACGCACGCACGCACACACACACACACACACACACACACAGGGUGAAAUGCAUGCUCAAACACAUGCACAAUCACACAAAUGCAUGCAAAACAUCUAAACGUAUUAAUACAAACUACUUUAAUACACUUCAAAUGCUCUGGAAUUUGGACAUAAAGAAUAAGUGAAAUGUCAUCAAUUUUAUCAGCAGUAUUUUGUAGCGGAAUAUAGUUGGUAUAUUCUUACACUUUUAUUAAGGUUCAGAGAUAUCACUGAUCCAGACCUGAGCUGGAUCAUUACAGGGAAUUUUAUUCAAACACCUUGUAUUGAAUUAGAGACAAGAAGAGAGAGAGAGAUGGGACGUUUAAGAAUUUUUAUUUUAUAAUUAUUUGAAACAAUCUCCAGGACUAACUCUCUAAUGAUGGAUGCAGAUGAAUGUAAUGCUGAAGUGUUGGUGUGUGUGUGUCAGUUCAGAAUCUCCAUCUGGUGGAAGCGAGUCUGAGUGCGAGGUGUUGUUUGCCCUAACUGACCGACGAUGGACUUCAGGAGGAAGACAUGAGACGCAAUCUAUGCCGAUCUACGUACCGUGCGGAGACUUCCGUGUUAGAUCCGGAUGCCAGGUCCUUGGACCCUCCUUGUGCUGGAACUGGUGAAACAGCGUCGGCAGCACGACAAACCAGUCUAUGGAUAGUGUCCCGGUACAACGGCAGGUUUCCAGCGUCACGUAGAGACCCCCCUUAUUGGGUCAUAGAGUUCAGCUUUUAUUCUGAAGGAACCGUCGUCUUGUUGAUAAUACUCAGCUUAAAAGUAGAAAAUACAGCUGGCCAGUCUGUACUUCACUUAGCGAUGAUGGACAUCAGAUGGAUUUGAGAGCUGGUUGAACUCACGUUGGAACUACGUUGAACCUUGCGGUGGAACUGAAUUAAAAUGGCGUUUUUCUGUUUUAUUAAGCUUAGAUGUUUAUGAUUCUUAGCGAAUCGGAGUGGACAGAUUAACUAAACACCACAGAACUCUGCCACGCAUCAGAGAGGAAGUUCUGAUUGGAUGAGUGAACAAUGUGUCAUGUGUUUACCUUAUGUGGAUCAGGAUGUCUAGCUCAAUUAGCCCAAGUCCUGUUAUUCAUUAAACACAUAAAUCAUAACAUUGUGAUUUCACAGAUCGGUCACCUGAUUAUUAUUGACCAACAGUUGUUUUGAUUAGCUUUAUUAGAAAUAAAGUUCUUUGAUUAACUAAUGAAAAGCAUUCUUCGUCCUUCUUCUGUCUUCUUUGCUGGAA